GAUGUGGCGCACCUAGUAGUGCGACUGCUUGGGACGCAGAUGGUUCCGGGUUCGAUUCUCGGUAGCUCA